UACGGGGGGGGGCAAGCGUUGUUCGGAAUUACUGGGCGUAAAGGGUUCGUAGGUGGCCAACUAAGUCAGACGUGAAAUCCCUCAGCUUAACUGGGGAACUGCGUCUGAGACUGGAUGGCUUGAGUGCAGGAGAGGAACGCGGAAUUCCAGGUGUAGCGGUGAAAUGCGUAGAUAUCUGGAGGAACACCGGUGGCGAAGGCGGCGUUCUGGACUGCAACUGACACUGAUGAACGAAAGCCAGGGGAGCAAACGGG
rnacentral:rRNA from 1 species